CCAUGCCUUUCCUAUGUGGAUAAUCAGCAAAGCUGAGGACAUUGGGAAGCAAUUCAGGAUUGCCACAGUUUACAGCUCUUCUGGAUGUGCACUGGUUAAUGCAUGGAAUUCAGCAACAGCAGACUUUUUUCCUUUGAUGGAUCCAGAAGAUUGCCACAUCAAGGAAUAUGGUGAUAAAACUGCAAGAUAAUCUGCCACUCCUAACAACUAUAGAAGUUCUAAGGAUGUUAGAGACUCAUAGAGAGGAAUUCUAAUGGCCAUACUUGAACCGUUGCAGCAAAACACGAGAGAUGUCCAAAUUUCUACCAAAGCAAUGCUGUUCUGUCCGCAGUAGGCAGUUUGUGUGGAGGUCCAGGGGCCCAGCCAGCAGGGGUAGAUGAUGAGAUGAUCCUUACAGGUUGAAAAAGCCAUAAGGUUGCAGCUGAUGAUUCUGUAGAAAGGCCUAAAAUUAAUUUUAGAAAAGCAUACUCAAGACAAUAGACUAUUAUCACAUGGAUAAAUAAGAAUAAAGAGUGUAAACACAUGUUACCAAAGUGAAUUCUUUAAAUGGAAGAGAAACUUGGCCUUCUUUAGCUUCACCAUUUGUUCCUGCCUUCCACCUCCAAUAAUAGCAUGUGUCUCAAUCCUUGUCGAUACUCCAAAUUUGAAUUGUAUAAUUCAAUUGGUUAAAACUU
rnacentral:lncRNA from 1 species